AUGGUUGUCGUCAGCUCGUGCCGUGAGGUGUUGGGCUAAGUCCCGCAACGAGCGCAACCCCUAUUGAUAGUUGCUAAUAUUAAGUUAAGGACUCUAUUGAGACUGCCAGCGACAAGCUGGAGGAAGGUGGGGAUGACGUCAAAUCAUCAUGCCCUUUAUGACCUGGGCUACAAACGUACUACAAUGGCCAGAUACAAAGAGAUGCGAAGCCGCGAGGUGGAGCGAACCUCAUAAAAAUGGUCUCAGUUCGGAUUGGAGUCUGCAACUCGACUCCAUGAAGUCGGAAUCGCUAGUAAUCGCGGGUCAGCAGACCGCGGUGAAUACGUUCCCGGGUUUU
rnacentral:rRNA from 1 species